GGAUUCCCCUAGUAACUGCGAGUGAAGCGGGAAAAGCUCAAAUUUAAAAUCUGGCGGUCUCUGGCCGUCCGAGUUGUAAUCUAGAGAAGUGCUGCCCGCGCUGGACCGUGUACAAGUCUCCUGGAAUGGAGCGUCAUAGAGGGUGAGAAUCCCGUCUUUGACACGGACUACCAGGGCUUUGUGGUACGCUCUCAAAGAGUCGAGUUGUUUGGGAAUGCAGCUCAAAAUGGGUGGUAAAUUCCAUCUAAAGCUAAAUAUUGGCGAGAGACCGAUAGCGAACAAGUACCGUGAGGGAAAGAUGAAAAGAACUUUGGAAAGAGAGUUAAACAGUACGUGAAAUUGCUGAAAGGGAAACGCUUGAAGUCAGUCGCGUUGGCCGGGGAUCAGCCUCGCUCUUUUGCGUGGUGUACUUUCCGGUCGACGGGUCAGCAUCAGUUUUGAUCGCUGGAAAAAGGCCUGAGGAAUGUGGCAGCUCCGGCUGUGUUAUAGCUUCUGGUCACAUACAGCGGUUGGGAUUGAGGAACUCAGCACGCCGCAAGGCCGGGUUUCGACCACGUUCGUGCUUAGGAUGCUGGCAUAAUGGCUUUAAGCGACCCGUCUUGAAACACGGACCAAGGAGUCUAACAUGCCUGCGAGUGUUUGGGUGGAAAACCCGAGCGCGUAAUGAAAGUGAAAGUUGAGAUCCCUGUCGCGGGGAGCAUCGACGCCCGGACCAGAACUUUUGGGACGGAUCCGCGGUAGAGCAUGUAUGUUGGGACCCGAAAGAUGGUGAACUAUGCCUGAAUAGGGUGAAGCCAGAGGAAACUCUGGUGGAGGCUCGUAGCGAUUCUGACGUGCAAAUCGAUCGUCAAAUUUGGGUAUAGGGGCGAAAGACUAAUCGA
rnacentral:rRNA from 1 species